GAGAACUGAUAAUCCGAUUGGUGGAAUGAAGGAGUAACGCCCUGAAACGCCAUCCCUGAUACUCCGAUGUGCGUAAGACAAAAUCUUACGUUCAAAGCUCGGUGAAGUCGGCUGAAAUCAACCCUAACAGCUUAGUAAUAAGGCUGAGGAAAGCUUCUCAGAGGUGAGAGGUGUUGAUGAUAGGUCGGGGGUCUUUAAA
rfam:Clostridium acetireducens DSM 10703 CLAC_contig000024, whole genome shotgun sequence.